rnacentral:lncRNA from 1 species
UCUGAGACUCUCAAGAACUAAGUGUGGUUAUCUUUCUUUUCUCAGAUGUCAAAACUGAACAUUGGAUUGGAGAAGUGAUCUAUUCAACAAACAAAAAGUUCCCAACCUAUUCAUAAACAAAGCACGGUCAGAUGGCAUUGGAAAGAGGACUGCAGAGCCCAAGGACAUUGCUAAUUCUUUGGAACCCGCUGUCAUGGAGCAAGGUAGACUGAAAUUAGCGUGUGUCCAAAUUAAAACUGCGAACUUCAAGGAUUAUUUGAUGGACUAUUCCUAGACCCUUUCCUGAAGAUUUAGAAAAAAAAAGAUUCUGAUUUGAUUGCUGCAAGGACUCUGUUUUUGGAUGCUG